rnacentral:rRNA from 1 species
AGAGUUUGAUCCUGGCUCAGGACGAACGCUGGCGGCGUGCUUAACACAUGCAAGUCGAACGAUGAUCAGGAGCUUGCUCCUGUGAUUAGUGGCGAACGGGUGAGUAACACGUGAGUAACCUGCCCCUGACUCUGGGAUAAGCGUUGGAAACGACGUCUAAUACUGGAUACGACUGCCGGCCGCAUGGUCUGGUGGUGGAAAGAUUUUUUGGUUGGGGAUGGACUCGCGGCCUAUCAGCUUGUUGGUGAGGUAAUGGCUCACCAAGGCGACGACGGGUAGCCGGCCUGAGAGGGUGACCGGCCACACUGGGACUGAGACACGGCCCAGACUCCUACGGGAGGCAGCAGUGGGGAAUAUUGCACAAUGGGCGAAAGCCUGAUGCAGCAACGCCGCGUGAGGGAUGACGGCCUUCGGGUUGUAAACCUCUUUUAGUAGGGAAGAAGCGAAAGUGACGGUACCUGCAGAAAAAGCACCGGCUAACUACGUGCCAGCAGCCGCGGUAAU